rnacentral:lncRNA from 1 species
UUAGUGUUACAGUCAAUAGCCAUCAUAACUCAUAAGCACAAGGUUGCACAGGAGUAUUAAAGCUGAAGGUUGUUGAUUCAGCAAUGCAAAGUAUUUGAGGCAAUAGACUUCACAGGCAACAAAGUGCUUAUUACGGACAAACUCCAUUGAAGGUAUCAAUAUACAUCUUUUGAUGAAUAUUAGUGUUACAGUCAAUAGCCAUCAUAACUCAUAAGCACAAGGUUGCACAGGAGUAUUGAUGUUGAAGGUUGUUGAUUCAGCAAUGCAAAGUAUUUAAGGCAAUAGAUUUCACAGGCAACAAAGUGCUUAUUACGAAGGUUCACUUUGACAAACUCCAUUGAAGGUAUCAAUAUUGAGCUGGCACAUAAUCAAUACCCUGAUUUCAACCACGCCCACUAAAGCAAGAACCUAUUUUUGUCCGCCUUGGGAUUUCAUAACUAACUUGCUCGCCAUAAGUUCACCGCAUCCCCAAAAAGAUCUAUAAGAAAUAAGACAGAGCUAAUUCACAUUUCAUUUGAACCAUCGAGGAAUGAGGAUAAUCUCCUUACACUGUAUUUCAAACUGAAUCACCCAGAUG